GAACGCUGGCGGCGUGCUUAACACAUGCAAGUCAGGGGGCUCGGCAACGGGUCACCGGCGAACGGGUGCGGAACACGUGAGCGACCUGCCCUUGUCUGGGGGAUAGCCGGCCCAACGGCCGGGUAAUACCGCAUACGUCCCGUCCUUGGAAGGACUGGGAGAAAGCCUUCGGGCGGACGAGGAGGGGCUCGCGGCCUAUCAGCUAGUUGGGGGGGUAACGGCCCACCAAGGCGACGACGGGUAGCUGGUCUGAGAGGAUGGCCAGCCACAUUGGGACUGAGAGACGGCCCAGACUCCUACGGGAGGCAGCAGU
rnacentral:rRNA from 1 species